rnacentral:rRNA from 1 species
CGUAUUGCACUGAAGCUGUGGGGUGACCCAUGGUGGAGCGAUGCGAAGAGAGAAUGUUGGCAUGAGUAGCAAAAAGACAUGUGAGAAUCAUGUCCGCCGUAAAUCCAAGGUUUCCUGGGCAACGCGAAUCGUCCCAGGGUUAGUCGGGAGCUAAGGCAAGGCCGAAAGGCGUAGUCGAUGCACAGCUGGUUCAUAUUCCAGCACUCUCUAUCACACUGAUGCAGGGACGCUUUCUGAAACUUCCCGCGUUCUAUGGCUAUAACGUUGGGUGCCUGUAGGUGUCUGGUAGGCAAAUCCGCCAGGCAGGCCAGCUUAGCUGGCCAAACACGCAGGUAAUCGCAAGCUUGGAUGAAUAGUCCAGGCAAGGGGAAGGGACAGAGAGCCAAGAAAAGCUGCUAGGGUUAAUGUGAUAGGGACCCGUACCGUAAACCGACACAGGUGGAUGGGUGCGAAAUGCACUAAGGCGUACGAGAGAAACAUCGUUUAGGAACUAGGCAAAACAGCGUCCGUAACUUCGGGAUAAGGACUGGUUUCUCCCGGGAGGGAGAGACCCGCAGCGAAAGACGUCAACCGACUGUUUAUCAAAAACACAGGUCCCUGCUAAACCGCAAGGUGAUGUAUAGGGGCUGAUGCCUGGCCAGUGUCCGAACGUUAAGGAAGGGGGUUAGAUCCUUCGGGGUCAAAGCCUCUGACUGAAGCGCGGAUGAACGCCGGCGAUAACUAUAAUCGUCCUAAGGUUUAUCAGAUUUUGGCUAACUUUAGCUGAAAAUCUGAUGAAGGACUGGGACAAUUAUAGUCAGAUAAACAGAAAAAAUAGCUGCCUUGCUGUGUGGUAACACACAGAUUACAGUCAAACAACAUGGCUAUAUGCUGGAAACCCUGCCAUUGGGUAAUCAGCAGGGAAGUCCCCUUUGGAUCCCUCAGAGACCACACGCCGUGCCCCUUCCUUAUGAAGGGUGAAGAUAUGGUCCUUCGUAGAAAGGAACGAAAAGCGAAAUUCCUUGACGGGUAAGUUCCGUCCUGCACGAAUGGCAUAACGAGUUGACGACUCUCUCAACGAUGUACUCGGCGAAAUUGCAAUGUGAGUGAAGAUGCUCACUACCCGUGGCAAGACGAAAAGACCCCGUGAAGCUUUACUACAAUUUGAUCUUGGGUUCAUGUUUCACAUGUUGAGAAUAGGUGGGAGCUUAGGCAUCAGUGAGAUACCACCCUUGUGUUGUGUGAAUUCUAACCAGGCGCCGUGAAACCGGUGUCAGGGACAGGAUCUGAUGGGUAGUUUACCUGGGGCGGGUGCCUUAACGGAGAUUCAAACCGUUACUUCCUCGCAAAGAGGAUUGAAUCUCUAUGGGGCCCUUUGGCAGCAAUGUCAAAGUGCACAUUCGGCUAUAUGCUGGAAUCUCCUGAAAAAUACGUUAUCACCGAAAGGUAAAAGUAUAACGUUGCGAUACCAUGUGUAUCACAGGACAAUCAGCAGGGAAGUCGUCGAGCUUAGCUCGAUUGACCCCUCAACGACUACAUGCCGAAUCCCUUCGGAAGAAGGGAAUAAUAUAGUCUGAACUUCAGCGAGAGCUGGAGACCUUAUGGCAUUGUCUCAAUACCGCCCGAGACAGAAAAGCAUAAGGACCAAACAAGAAGCAUAUGCACAGCAAAGAAAUUGAAGAAUGGUCGCGUCGUCUGCGACCGUCGGCCAUCCAACGUGAUGUGCUCAUUGGCACAUUGCUAGGCGAUGGACACCUUGAAACGAUGAAUCAAGGCCGGACGUACCGACUCAAGAUUGAGCACACGAUUACGCAGCAAGACUACGUCAGCUGGCUGUAUCAGGUGUUUCAUGAGUGGGUACGCACCGCGCCCGUUGUUCGUUCAAGAGAGGUGACAUUUCGAGGCCGGACAAAGUCCUACAAGCGCGUAGGAUUUGCGACACUAAGUUCAGGUUCACUGCGAUUCUAUGCCGGCCAAUUUUAUCGCCAUGCGAAAAAAAUUGUCCCGCCACUCAUCCAUCGAUGGCUCACUCCGCGAGCCAUGGCCGUGUGGUAUAUGGAUGACGGUUCGAUCAAAUCGAACCAACAUAGAACUGUCCUGCUCAACACGCAGGGCUUUGGUGAGCAGGAUGUGAAGCGACUUCAAAAAGCUCUUGAACGUCGCUAUGGAAUCAAGGCAAGCGUGAGCGCAGACAAAGAUGGAAACCGGCUGUACAUCAGAUCGGAGACUGUCGAUGUGUUUCUGCGCACGAUUUGUCCAUACUUGAUUCCUUCGAUGGCAUAUAAGAUCCCAAAAGUUUGGUUAACAUCAUUGCCUAAAAAGUAACGGAGGCGUUUACAAAGGUUGGCUUAGCGCGGAUGGAAAUCGCGCUGGACGUGCAAACGCAGAAGCCAGCUUUACUGCAAGACCAACAAGUCGCGCAGUCGCGAAAGCGGAAGUUAGUGAUCCGACCGUACGAAAUAGGACGGCGGAAGCUCAUCGGAUAAAAGCUACUCCGGGGAUAACAGGCUAGUCUCCCCCAAGCGUCCACAGCGACGGGGAGGUUCGGCACCUCGAUGUCGACUCAUCGCAUCCUGGGGCUGGAGAAGGUCCCAAGGGUUAGGCUGUUCGCCUAUUAAAGCGGUACGUGAGUUGGGUUCAGAACGUCGUGAGACAGUUCGGUCUCCUAUCUGCCAUGGGCGUCGAAGAUUGAUGGAACCCAUUCCUAGUACGAGAGGACCGGAAUGGACGAACCUCUAGUGUACCGGUUGUCCUGCCAAGGGCAUCGCCGGGUAGCUACGUUCGGUUCGGAUAAGCGCUGAAAGCAUCUAAGUGCGAAGCCGUUCCAAAGAUUAGUCUUCAUUUGAGUCCCCUCAGAGAUGAUGAGGUUGAUAGGCCGUAGGUGUACGCGUCGUAAGACGUUCAGCCGAGCGGUACUAAUAGGACGAGCUCUACAACCA